rnacentral:lncRNA from 1 species
GCCUGUUUGCCUCAGUUUCUCUAUCUAUAAAAUAGGCUGUAUCUUUGCUAAGAAAAUCUCAAAUGGGGUCAUGAAGAGAUGGAUGAGGUUGAGAACAGCUGAACAACAACCCCUCCCCAAGCACAACCCGGCCCCAUUAGAAUGUAAAAUACCUGAAGGGACUGGGAUUGUUUUUGCCUUUGUUUGAAUCUCCAACACUUAGCCCAGUGCCUGUACUUCUCAGCAAACAGAAUGCUUGCUGACUGGGCUUGACUAGAAACACUAGAUUUUCUGCCCAAUUCAAGCAUUUGUUGGCUUUCUACAAAAGCCAUGCUACUUUGCUCAGGAUCAUCUUUUUUCUAGAGCAAAUAACAAAGACUAAUAGAUCAUCAGUUGUGAAAAAAAGCAGCCAUCCACUCCCCCAAAUCUCAGACAUGUAGGAUCCACAUUUUAACUGGCUGGGAGAUCCCAGUGGAAUGAGAAUGAUGGUGCUGCCCACUGAUGAAGUUGCACACGCCUAAGGAAGAGAUCUCCUUAAAGCAGAAGCCAUCAACAGCCCAGGAGCUUAUGUUCCGGAUACCUGAGAUCAUCUUUCAAGGUGAGACAACAGGCAAGUAUGUAUCCUGCAAAGGAGAAGGCACCCCAGACCUGUGACAAACUUCAAGCAACACCAAAGGAUGGAAGAUACAUGGACAAUUGGAAAGAACUUUGAAUCAAAGACAUUAUGGGGAAUGAACUUCAGGAAAAAUGGGUCACAUAAGAUUAAUCGCUGAUCACAGAACUGAAGGGUAGGGUGACUUUAGAAGAUAAGACCCACUGGGCCUUAGGAAUAUUGAAAGAGAGAAUUGCAAAAGAGAAAGGAAAGGGAUAGCACACAUCAGAAAGGCUAGAAGUCCCCAAAACAAAGUCCAUAGAUUUCACAGUUAAAGUAAGGACUAGCUUUCUCUGUCUGAGAAAGUAGACAGGUGUAAGACAAACUCUUUGCUUUUAACAAAUUUGUUAUUUAGAUAAAGAAAAUCAGAGUUUUAUU